rnacentral:rRNA from 1 species
GGUUAAGCGACUAAGCGUACACGGUGGAUGCCCUGGCAGUCAGAGGCGAUGAAGGACGUGCUAAUCUGCGAUAAGCGUCGGUAAGGUGAUAUGAACCGUUAUAACCGGCGAUUUCCGAAUGGGGAAACCCAGUGUGUUUCGACACACUAUCAUUAACUGAAUCCAUAGGUUAAUGAGGCGAACCGGGGGAACUGAAACAUCUAAGUACCCCGAGGAAAAGAAAUCAACCGAGAUUCCCCCAGUAGCGGCGAGCGAACGGGGAGCAGCCCAGAGCCUGAAUCAGUAUGUGUGUUAGUGGAAGCGUCUGGAAAGGCGCGCGAUACAGGGUGACAGCCCCGUACACAAAAAUGCACAUAUUGUGAGCUCGAUGAGUAGGGCGGGACACGUGGUAUCCUGUCUGAAUAUGGGGGGACCAUCCUCCAAGGCUAAAUACUCCUGACUGACCGAUAGUGAACCAGUACCGUGAGGGAAAGGCGAAAAGAACCCCGGCGAGGGGAGUGAAAAAGAACCUGAAACCGUGUACGUACAAGCAGUGGGAGCACGCUUAGGCGUGUGACUGCGUACCUUUUGUAUAAUGGGUCAGCGACUUAUAUUCUGUAGCAAGGUUAACCGAAUAGGGGAGCCGAAGGGAAACCGAGUCUUAACUGGGCGUUAAGUUGCAGGGUAUAGACCCGAAACCCGGUGAUCUAGCCAUGGGCAGGUUGAAGGUUGGGUAACACUAACUGGAGGACCGAACCGACUAAUGUUGAAAAAUUAGCGGAUGACUUGUGGCUGGGGGUGAAAGGCCAAUCAAACCGGGAGAUAGCUGGUUCUCCCCGAAAGCUAUUUAGGUAGCGCCUCGUGAAUUCAUCUCCGGGGGUAGAGCACUGUUUCGGCAAGGGGGUCAUCCCGACUUACCAACCCGAUGCAAACUGCGAAUACCGGAGAAUGUUAUCACGGGAGACACACGGCGGGUGCUAACGUCCGUCGUGAAGAGGGAAACAACCCAGACCGCCAGCUAAGGUCCCAAAGUCAUGGUUAAGUGGGAAACGAUGUGGGAAGGCCCAGACAGCCAGGAUGUUGGCUUAGAAGCAGCCAUCAUUUAAAGAAAGCGUAAUAGCUCACUGGUCGAGUCGGCCUGCGCGGAAGAUGUAACGGGGCUAAACCAUGCACCGAAGCUGCGGCAGCGACACUAUGUGUUGUUGGGUAGGGGAGCGUUCUGUAAGCCUGUGAAGGUGUGCUGUGAGGCAUGCUGGAGGUAUCAGAAGUGCGAAUGCUGACAUAAGUAACGAUAAAGCGGGUGAAAAGCCCGCUCGCCGGAAGACCAAGGGUUCCUGUCCAACGUUAAUCGGGGCAGGGUGAGUCGACCCCUAAGGCGAGGCCGAAAGGCGUAGUCGAUGGGAAACAGGUUAAUAUUCCUGUACUUGGUGUUACUGCGAAGGGGGGACGGAGAAGGCUAUGUUGGCCGGGCGACGGUUGUCCCGGUUUAAGCGUGUAGGCUGGUUUUCCAGGCAAAUCCGGAAAAUCAAGGCUGAGGCGUGAUGACGAGGCACUACGGUGCUGAAGCAACAAAUGCCCUGCUUCCAGGAAAAGCCUCUAAGCAUCAGGUAACAUCAAAUCGUACCCCAAACCGACACAGGUGGUCAGGUAGAGAAUACCAAGGCGCUUGAGAGAACUCGGGUGAAGGAACUAGGCAAAAUGGUGCCGUAACUUCGGGAGAAGGCACGCUGAUAUGUAGGUGAAGUCCCUCGCGGAUGGAGCUGAAAUCAGUCGAAGAUACCAGCUGGCUGCAACUGUUUAUUAAAAACACAGCACUGUGCAAACACGAAAGUGGACGUAUACGGUGUGACGCCUGCCCGGUGCCGGAAGGUUAAUUGAUGGGGUUAGCGCAAGCGAAGCUCUUGAUCGAAGCCCCGGUAAACGGCGGCCGUAACUAUAACGGUCCUAAGGUAGCGAAAUUCCUUGUCGGGUAAGUUCCGACCUGCACGAAUGGCGUAAUGAUGGCCAGGCUGUCUCCACCCGAGACUCAGUGAAAUUGAACUCGCUGUGAAGAUGCAGUGUACCCGCGGCAAGACGGAAAGACCCCGUGAACCUUUACUAUAGCUUGACACUGAACAUUGAGCCUUGAUGUGUAGGAUAGGUGGGAGGCUUUGAAGUGUGGACGCCAGUCUGCAUGGAGCCGACCUUGAAAUACCACCCUUUAAUGUUUGAUGUUCUAACGUUGACCCGUAAUCCGGGUUGCGGACAGUGUCUGGUGGGUAGUUUGACUGGGGCGGUCUCCUCCUAAAGAGUAACGGAGGAGCACGAAGGUUGGCUAAUCCUGGUCGGACAUCAGGAGGUUAGUGCAAUGGCAUAAGCCAGCUUGACUGCGAGCGUGACGGCGCGAGCAGGUGCGAAAGCAGGUCAUAGUGAUCCGGUGGUUCUGAAUGGAAGGGCCAUCGCUCAACGGAUAAAAGGUACUCCGGGGAUAACAGGCUGAUACCGCCCAAGAGUUCAUAUCGACGGCGGUGUUUGGCACCUCGAUGUCGGCUCAUCACAUCCUGGGGCUGAAGUAGGUCCCAAGGGUAUGGCUGUUCGCCAUUUAAAGUGGUACGCGAGCUGGGUUUAGAACGUCGUGAGACAGUUCGGUCCCUAUCUGCCGUGGGCGCUGGAGAACUGAGGGGGGCUGCUCCUAGUACGAGAGGACCGGAGUGGACGCAUCACUGGUGUUCGGGUUGUCAUGCCAAUGGCACUGCCCGGUAGCUAAAUGCGGAAGAGAUAAGUGCUGAAAGCAUCUAAGCACGAAACUUGCCCCGAGAUGAGUUCUCCCUGACUCCUUGAGAGUCCUGAAGGAACGUUGAAGACGACGACGUUGAUAGGCCGGGUGUGUAAGCGCAGCGAUGCGUUGAGCUAACCGGUACUAAUGAACCGUGAGGCUUAACCUU